CUCAGCGGCGCUUCUUAGCAGAGGAAGCUGUUUGCGGGGAAAAAGGGCCAGAGAAGCAGAUGCAGAAACUGAGGCUCAGAAGCGUUCGGCCACGUGCAUGCAUUGCCUUUCCCAUUGGUGCUCCAUCGCCAGUAAUGGAUAAGUAAUAAGUAAUAAGGUGCAUUGGAAAUUCAAAUUUCAGAAUAAGCUGACUGCCAAGAGGGCCCUCCCCCUGUCGGGAGUCCCUUAGUCCAUGGGAAAUUCACAGAGAAGGAAACAGUCACUUUUCCUGCACCUGAGAAGGUGAUUCUGACUCUCCUGGAACCUGAGAACCACCAGUCUACGGGAACAGAGCCCUGCUUUGGGUCAGGUGUGUAUAACUAUGGUAUUCCCUUUCUUCUCUGCCUCUAUUGUUGAUGUUGUUUUUUUGUUUUUUGUUUUUUUUUGAAACGGAGUCUCGCUGUUGCCCAGGCUGGAGUGCAGUGGCGCAAUCUCGGCUCACUACAAUCUCCGCCUCUGGGGUUCACGCCAUUCUCCUGCCUCAGCCUCCCGAGUAGCUGGUAAGGGAGGAGACCACCCCUCACAUUGUCUUAUGCCCAAUUUCUGCCUCCAAAGAAAGAAGUAAAAACUAAAAGGCAGAAAUGAAAUCCACAGGCAGACAGCCCGGCGCUGCACCCUGGGCCUGGUAGUUAAAGAUCGACCCCUGACCUAAUCAGUUAUGUUGUCUAUAGAUUACAGACAUUGUAUAGAAAUGCACUGUGAAAAUCCCUAUCUGUUUUGUUCCGAUCUAGUUACCAGUGCAUGCAGACCCCAGUCACGUACCCCUUGCUUGCUCAAUCAAUCCCGACCCCCUCACACGCACCCUCCUUAGAGUUGUGAGCCCUUAAAAGGGAUAGGAAUUGCUCACUCGGGGAGCUCGGCUCUCGAGACAGGAGUCUUGCCGAUGCCCCCAGCCGAUUAAACCCCUUCCUUCAACUCGGUGUCUGAGGAGUUUUGUCUGCAGCUCGUCCUGCUACACUGGGACUACAGGCGCUCGCCACCACGCCCGGCUAAUUUUUUAUAUUUUUUAGUAGAGGCAGGGUUUCACCGUGUUAGCCAGGAUGGUCUCGAUUGCCUGACCUCAUGAUCCGCCUGCCUUGGCCUCCCAAAGUGUUGGGAUUACAGGCGUGAGCCACCGCGCCCGGCCCCACUCUCUACCUCUGUUUGUUUAGGGGCAGGCAUAGAAUCCCAUUCUAGUCAAUGAGACAGAAAGGGGUUCUGGAAAGUUCCCCCACCCCCUUAUAAAACAAGGAGGACGUCUUCAAGGAGGACGUCUGAGGAGAAGCUUUGCCGUGGCCUUUUGCCUUUGGAUGCUGCCAGAGGGGUUAGAAGGCGGAGCUCCACAGUCAGGCAGCUGGGGUGUGUAUCCUAGCGGGGAGAGCAAGAGACAGUGGGACAAAAAUAAUAACAGUAAUAGCAGCAAUGCUUCUUGAGGACUUUCCGCAUGGCAGGCCCUAUUCUAAGCACCUCAUGUAGCAUAUUUUACCCUCAAACAGUCCUGAGGUAGGUUCUGUUAUUGCGAUUUUAUAAAUGAGGAAACUGAAGCACAGACAAGUUUAAAUAACUCGUUCAAAGUCAUACAGCUCAUACAUGGAGGCCAGCAUGCAGGCCAGGUGUGUGGGGUAUGGGCAUUGCGGGCUACUUUAGGGACCCUGACCUUUUCCUCAGCAUAGUGGGAAGCUGGUGAAAGGUUUUAAGCAGGGGUGGCCCCUCUGAUUUACCUUUUUUUUUUUUUUUUUUUUUUUGAGACAGUGUCUCACUCUGUUGCCCAGGCUGGAGCGCACUGGUGAGAUCUUGGCUCACUGCAGCCUCAAACUCCUGGGCUCAAGUGAUCCUCCCACCUCAGCCUCCUGAGAAGCUGGGACUACAGGCAAAUGCUACAGUGGCUGGCUACUUUUUGUAAAGACGGAGUUUCACCAUGUUACCCAGGCUGGUUUUGAACUCCUGAGCUCAAGCAAUCCGUCCACCUCUGCCUCCCAAAGUGCUGGGAUUACACGCAUGAGCCACCACAUCUGGCCUGAUUUACUUUUAAAAGUCACUGAAAUGCUUUGCUCCUAAAUUCUCUGCUGGGGACAAGCCAGCCACACUUGCACGGCCUGUUCUUCAGCCUCUUUUCCUCCCUGAGACAUCAGUCCCUUAGCAAACCCAGCGUCUUGGGUGACUGGGACCAGGGUGACUCAAUGGCAGAUGCUGAUGGGUGAGACAGCCACAAAGAUGAUCUUUGGAGAGUGAGUUAUAGGUGAUUUGUUUUAUUUAAUUUUUAAUUUUUUUAUUUUUUUUUGAGACAGAGUCUCACUCUGUCGCCCAGGCUGGAGUGCAGUGGCGUGAUCUCAGCUCACUGCAACCUCCUCCUCCCGGUUCAAGCUACUCUCCUGACUCAGCCUCCAGAGUAGCUGAGAUUCCAGGCAUGUGCCACCACACCCAGCUAAUCUUUGUAUUUUUAGUAUAGACAGGGUUUCACCAUAUUGGCCAGGCUGGUCUCCAACUCCUGACCUCAAGUGAUCCACCAACCUUGGCCUCCCAAAGUGUUGGGAUUACAGGAGUGAGCCACCACCUCUGGCCAGGUGAUUCGUUUUAAAUCUGAAUUUUUACAUUUUUUUAUAAUAAGUGACCAUAUAUCACUUGCUAUUUAAAAAAAAAUUUUUUUUGAGAUGGAGUUUCACCCUUGUUGCCCAGGCUGGAGUGCAAUGGCAUGAUCUUGGGCCACUGCAAUCUCCGCCUCCCGGGUUCGAGCGAUUCUCCUGCCUCAGCCUCCAAGUAGCUGGGACUACAGGCAUGUGCCACCACGCCCAGAUAAUUUUUGUAUUUUUAGUAGAGGCAGGGUUUCACCAUGUUGGCCAGGCUGGUCUCAAACUCCUGACCUCCGGUGAUUCUCCUGCCUUGGCCUCCCAAAGUGCUGGGAUUACAGGCAUGAGCCACCGUGCCCAGCCAAAAGUCAUUAUUUAUAAAAAGAAAGAUGAGGGGCCAGCACCCCACCCUCCCCAGGGUUGUUGACUCCUGCUGGUACUGGCUGUGGCUGAAGUCAUCAUCAUGGAGGCUAACCCUUGGAGGGUAGAUAGUGCAGUGGCAGCAUCCUAAGGGCUUUAUGUGACCUGUAUGAACUCAUUUAAUCCCCACUGGCUUGGCCAAGGCCACAGAGCUGAAGAGUGGCAGGCUAGCGUCCGGACUCUCAGCUAUGUACCAGGCUGCUUUUCUGGAAAUGUUUUCCAGUUCCCCCGUGGGUGAAAGGCCUGUCCUUCCCACACCUUCCACAGUGGAAGUGGCCUCCAUUCUCUGCUGUGCAGAAUUGCUGGUGGAGAAGUGGGUGUUGGGGAGCUGGGGGCAGGAAAUAGAAGAUAUUGGACAGAAAUGUCCUGCAGUUGUUUGAAGCCUAAACAAAAACCCUUUCUUGGCCAGGUGCGGUGGCUCAUGCCUAUAAUCCUGGCACUUUGGGAGGCUGAGGUGGGCCGAUCACUUGAGGUCAGGAGUUCAAAACCAGCCUGGCUAACAUGGUGAAACUCCAUCUAUUCUAAAAAUACAAAAAUUAGCCGAGUGUGGUGGUGGGUGCCUGUAAUCCCAGCUACUCGGGAGGCUGAGGCAGGAGAAUCACUUGAACCCGGGAGGCAGAGGUUGCAGUGAGCUGAGAUCGCGCCACUGUACUCCAGCCUGGGUGAUACAGCGAGACUCCAUCUCAAAAAAAAAAAAAAAAAAAAUAGUAGGUCCAACCUCACAGAACUGUGGGAGGAAUUAGGCUUAGAACUGUAACUGGCACUCAGGAAGUACACAACUGAGGUUAGCCGAUUUUAUGUUUAGCUUGCACCAUCUUCUCCCUCUCUCUGUUUCUCUGUUUUUCUCUGUUUCAG
rnacentral:lncRNA from 1 species